rnacentral:rRNA from 1 species
GACGAACGCUGGCGGCGUGCUUAACACAUGCAAGUCGAGCGGUAAGGCCCUUUCGGGGGUACACGAGCGGCGAACGGGUGAGCAACACGUGGGUGACCUGCCCUUAGCUCUGGGAUAAGCCUGGGAAACUGGGUCUAAUACCGGAUAUGACUCCAUGACGCAUGUUGUGGGGUGGAAAGCCUUGUGCGGCUAGGGAUGGGCCUGCGGCCUAUCAGCUUGUUGGUGGGGUGANGGCCUACCAAGGCGACGACGGGUAGCCGGCCUGAGAGGGCGACCGGCCACACUGGGACUGAGACACGGCCCAGACUCCUACGGGAGGCAGCAGUGGGGAAUCUUGCGCAAUGGGCGAAAGCCUGACGCAGCGACGCCGCGUGGGGAUGACGGCCUGGUGUAACU